rnacentral:rRNA from 1 species
AGUCGAGGGGUAUGGUUCUUCGGAACCAGAGACCGGCGCACGGGUGCGUAACGCGUAUGCAAUCUGCCUUUCACAGAGGGAUAGCCCAGAGAAAUUUGGAUUAAUACCUCAUAGUAUAGCGACAUCGCAUGAUGAUGCUAUUAAAGUCACAACGGUGAAAGAUGAGCAUGCGUCCCAUUAGCUAGUUGGUAAGGUAACGGCUUACCAAGGCAACGAUGGGUAGGGGUCCUGAGAGGGAGAUCCCCCACACUGGUACUGAGACACGGACCAGACUCCUACGGGAGGCAGCAGUGAGGAAUAUUGGUCAAUGGGCGCAAGCCUGAACCAGCCAUGCCGCGUGCAGGAUGACGGUCCUAUGGAUUGUAAACUGCUUUUGCACAGGAAGAAACACUGAUUCGUGAAUCAGCUUGACGGUACUGUGAGAAUAAGGAUCGGCUAACUCCGUGCCAGCAGCCGCGGUAAUACGGAGGAUCCAAGCGUUAUCCGGAAUCAUUGGGUUUAAAGGGUCCGUAGGCGGUCUGGUAAGUCAGUGGUGAAAGCCCAUCGCUCAACGGUGGAACGGCCAUUGAUACUGCUGGACUUGAAUUAUUAGGAAGUAACUAGAAUAUGUAGUGUAGCGGUGAAAUGCUUAGAGAUUACAUGGAAUACCAAUUGCGAAGGCAGGUUACUACUAAUGGAUUGACGCUGAUGGACGAAAGCGUGGGUAGCGAACAGGAUUAGAUACCCUGGUAGUCCACGCCGUAAACGAUGGAUACUAGCUGUUGGAAGCAAUUUCAGUGGCUAAGCGAAGGUGAUAAGUAUCCCACCU